rnacentral:rRNA from 1 species
GAUGAACGCUUUUCGGCGUGCCUAAUACAUGCAAGUCGAGCGAACAGAUAAGGAGCUUGCUCCUUUGACGUUAGCGGCGGACGGUUGAGUAACACGUGGGUAACCUACCUAUAAGACUGGGAUAACUUCGGGAAACCGGAGCUAAUACCGGAUAACAUUUGGAACCGCAUAGUUCUAAAGUGAAAGAUGGUUUUGCUAUCACUUAUAGAUGGACCCGCGCCGUAUUAGCUAGUUGGUAAGGUAACGGCUUACCAGGGCGACGAUACGUAGCCGACCUGAGAGGGUGAUCGGCCACACUGGAACUGGGACACGGUCCAGACUCCUACGGGAGGCAGCAGUAGGGAAUCUUCCGCAAUGGGCGAAAGCCUGACGGAGCAACGCCGCGUGAGUGAUGAAGGGUUUCGGCUCGUAAAACUCUGUUAUUAGGGAAGAACAAACGUGUAAUUAACUGUGCACGUCUUGACCGUACCUUAUCAAAAAGCCACGGCUAACUACGUGCCAGCAGUCGCGGUAAUACGUAUGGGGCAAGCGUUAUCCGGAAUUAUUGGGCGUAAGCGCCGCGUAGGCGGUUUCUUAAGUCUGAUGUGAAAGCCCACGGCCUCUUCGGGGAGGGUCAUUGGAAACUGGGAAACUUGAGUGCAGAUUAGGAAAGUGGAAUUCCAUGUGUAGCGGUGAAAUGCGCAGAGAUAUGGAGGAACACCAGUGGCGAAGGCGACUUUCUGGUCUGUAACUGACGCUGAUGUGCGAAAGCGUGGGGAUCAAACAGGAUUAGAUACCCUGGUAGUCCACGCCGUAAACGAUGAGUGCUAAGUGUUAGGGGGUUUCCGCCCCUUAGUGCUGCAGCUAACGCAUUAAGCACUCCGCCUGGGGAGUACGACCGCAAGGUUGAAACUCAAAGGAAUUGACGGGGACCCGCACAAGCGGUGGAGCAUGUGGUUUAAUUCGAAAGCAACGCGAAAAACCUUACCAAAUCUUGACAUCCUUUGAAAACUCUAGAGAUAGAGCCUUCCCCUUCGGGGGACAAAGUGACAGGUGGUGCAUGGUUAUCGUCAGCUCGUGUCGUGAGAUGUUGGGGUUAAGUCCCGCAACGAGCGCAACCCUUAAGCUUAGUUGCCAUCAUUAAGUUGGGCACUCUAGGUUGACUGCCGGUGACAAACCGGAGGAAGGUGGGGAUGACGUCAAAUCAUCAUGCCCCUUAUGAUUUGGGCUACACACGUGCUACAAUGGACAAUACAAAGGGCAGGUAAACCGCGAGGUCAUGCAAAUCCCAUAAAGUUGUUCUCAGUUCGGAUUGUAGUCUGCAACUCGACUACAUGAAGCUGGAAUCGCUAGUAAUCGUAGAUCAGCAUGCUACGGUGAAUACGUUCCCGGGUCU